rnacentral:rRNA from 1 species
AGAGUUUGAUCAUGGCUCAGGGUGAACGCUGGCGGCGUGCCUAACACAUGCAAGUCGAGGGUGUGGCUGGAGGCUUCGGCUGAAGGCCACACAGCGGCGGACGGGUGCCUAACGCGUAGAACGUGCCCCCCGGAGGCGGAUAGCCGUGGGAAACUGCGGGUAAACCGCCAUACGCUCGGAGAGGAAAGGCCGAGAGGCGCCGGGGGAGCGGCCUGCGUCCCAUCAGGUAGUUGGUGGGUAACGGCCCACCAAGCCGACGACGGGUAGCCGGUCUGAGAGGACGGCCGGCCACAAGGCACUGAGACACGGGCCCUACUCCUACGGGAGGCAGCAGUGGGGGAUAUUGGACAAUGGCGAAAGCCUGAUCCAGCGACGCCGCGUGGAGGACGAAGCCCUUCGGGGUGUAAACUCCUUUGUCGGGGAAAAGGGUGAUGGUACCCGGCGAAUAAGCCCCGGCUAACUACGUGCCAGAGCCGCGGUAAUACGUAGGGGGCGAGCGUUACCCGGAGUCACUGGGCGUAAAGGGUGCGAGGUGGCCCCGUGAGUCCGGCGUUAAAGGCCACGGCUCAACCGUGGAGAUGCGCUGGAACGGCGGGGCUUGGGUGUGGCAGAGGCAGACGGAACUGCUGGUGUAGGGGUGAAAUCCGUGAUAUCAGCAGGAACGCCGGUGGAGAAGUCGGUCUGCUGGGCCACGACCGACACUGAGGACGAAAGCUAGGGGAGCGAACCGGAUUAGAUACCCGGGUAGUCCUAGCCGUAAACGAUGUCACUAGGUGUGGGGCGGAGAGCUCCGUACUGAAGCAAACGCGCUAAGUGAGCCGCCUGGGAGUAUGCCCG